rnacentral:rRNA from 1 species
UACGUAGGGGGCUAGCGUUGUCCGGAAUCAUUGGGCGUAAAGCGCGCGUAGGCGGCCCGGUAAGUCCGCUGUGAAAGUCAAAGGCUCAACCUUUGAAUGUCAGCGGAUACUGCCGGGCUAGAGUCCGGAAGAGGCGAGUGGAAUUCCUGGUGUAGCGGUGGAAUGCGCAGAUAUCAGGAGGAACACCGACGGCGAAGGCAGCUCGCUGGGACGGUAUUGACGCUGAGACGCGAAAGCGUGGGGAGCAAACAGG